rnacentral:rRNA from 1 species
GCAGCGGAGCAUGUGGUUUAAUUCGAAGCAACGCGAAGAACCUUACCUAGACUUGACAUCUCCUGAAUUACCCGUAACUGGGGAAGCUCUUCGGAGCAGGAAGACAGGUGGUGCAUGGUUGUCGUCAGCUCGUGUCGUGAGAUGUUGGGUUAAGUCCCGCAACGAGCGCAACCCUUAUCGUUAGUUGCUACCAUUAAGUUGAGCACUCUAGCGAGACUGCCCGGGUUAACCGGGAGGAAGGUGGGGAUGACGUCAAAUCAUCAUGCCCCUUAUGUCUAGGGCUACACACGUGCUACAAUGGUGAGGACAAAGAGACGCAAGACCGCGGGGUGGAGCAAAUCUCACAAACCUCAUCCCAGUUCGGAUUGCAGGCUGAAACUCGCCUGCAUGAAGCCGGAGUUGCUAGUAAUCGCGAAUCAGCCAUGUCGACGGUGAAUACGUUCCCGGGCCGUU